UUCCCAGUGUUGAAAUAAAGUAGACCUCUAAAUUCUAGCUCCACGUGACUUUGAGUCAAGAACUGUAUCUGAUUCAUCUUUGGUUUCCUAAUAGAUUUUCAAUAAAGUCUGUUGAAUAAUACCCAUUUUUCACAUAGACCAAGAAAACACCUGUAGGUGACAUCAAUGUACAAAUUAGAUCAACUGAUCAACUAUAAAUGAAUUUGCCUUAGCUGGAAAAAGUCUACAUAGAAAUCAGAUCGUGAACCUCCUAGUACCUCCCGCACUGUACCUCCCAACGCCCACUACUCUCCCCCUCACUCUGGUCCCCAGGAUGUGAAGGACCAUGGGACCCAACACCACCACAGCUUCAUUGUGCACAGCUCAGAGGAGUGGUUCUGCUCAUCCUAGUUAUUCAGGGACUCCAGACGGAUGGAGAGACCAAGCUUCUAUGAUAACUGUG
rnacentral:lncRNA from 12 species